rnacentral:rRNA from 1 species
AGUGAACGCUGGCGGUAGGCCUAACACAUGCAAGUCGAACGGCAGCACAGUAAGAGCUUGCUCUUACGGGUGGCGAGUGGCGGACGGGUGAGGAAUACAUCGGAAUCUACUUUUUCGUGGGGGAUAACGUAGGGAAACUUACGCUAAUACCGCAUACGACCUACGGGUGAAAGCAGGGGAUCUUCGGACCUUGCGCGAUUGAAUGAGCCGAUGUCGGAUUAGCUAGUUGGCGGGGUAAAGGCCCACCAAGGCGACGAUCCGUAGCUGGUCUGAGAGGAUGAUCAGGCACACGGGAACAGAGACAAGGUCCAGACUCCUACGGGAGGCAGCAGUGGGGAAUAUUGGACAAUGGGCGCAAGCCUGAUCCAGCCAUACCGCGUGAGUGAAGAAGGCCUGCGGGUUGUAAAGCCCUUUUGUUGGGAAAGAAAAGCAGCAGGUUAAUACCCCGCUGUUCUGACGGUACCCAAAGAAUAAGCACCGGCUAACUUCGUG